CACGUAGGGUGCGAGCGUUGUCCGGAAUUAUUGGGCGUAAAGAGCUCGUAGGCGGUGUGUCGCGUCGAAUGUGAAAUCUCAGGGCUCAACUCUGACAUUGCAUUCGAUACGGGCAGGCUAGAGUUCGGUAGGGGAGACUGGAAUUCCUGGUGUAGAGGUGAAAUUCGUAGAUAUUCGGAAGAACACCAGUGGCGAAGGCGACACACUGGCUCACUACUGACGCUGAGGCGCGAAAGCGUGGGGAGCGAACAGG
rnacentral:rRNA from 1 species